CCAGAGAACUUAGCAGAGAUGCUUUGGUGCCUUCGGGAACUCUGAGACAGGUGCUGCAUGGCUGUCGUCAGCUCGUGUUGUGAAAUGUUGGGUUAAGUCCCCGCAACGAGCGCAACCCUUAUCCUUUGUUGCCAGCGGCUCGGCCGGGAACUCAAAGGAGACUGCCGGUGAUAAACCGGAGGAAGGUGGGGAUGACGUCAAGUCAUCAUGGCCCUUACGGCCAGGGCUACACACGUGCUACAAUGGCGCAUACAAAGAGAAGCGACCUCGCGAGAGCAAGCGGACCUCAUAAAGUGCGUCGUAGUCCGGAUUGGAGUCUGCAACUCGACUCCAUGAAGUCGGAAUCGCUAGUAAUCGUAGAUCAGAAUGCUACGGUGAAUACGUUCCCGGGCCUUGUACACACCGCCCGUCACACCAUGGGAGUGGGUUGCAAAAGAAGUAGGUAGCUUAACCUUCGGGAGGGCGCUUACCACUUUGUGAUUCAUGACUGGGGUGAAGUCGUAACAAGGUAAGCGUAGCGAG
rnacentral:rRNA from 1 species